rnacentral:lncRNA from 10 species
AAAAUGUGGCACAUAUACACCAUGGAAUACUAUGCAGCCAUAAAAAAUGAGUGCAUGUCCUUUGCAGGGACAUGGAUGAAGCUGGAAACCAUCAUUCUCAGCCAACUAACACAGGAACAUAAAACCAAACACCACAUAUUCUCAUUCAUAAGUGGGAGCUGAACAAUUAGAACACACGGACACAGGGAGGGGAACAUCACACACUGAGGCCUGUUGGGGGUUGGCGGGGGCAAGGGGAAGGAGAGCAUUAGGACAAAUACCAUGCGGGGCUUAAAACCUAGAUGACAGGUUGAUAGGUGCAGCAAACCGCCAUGGCACAUGUAUACUUAUGUAACAAACCUGCAUGUUCUGCACACUUAACCCAGAACUUAAAGAGAAAAAAAAAAUAGGUGUGAGCCACCACACCCAGCUGAUGAUCAGAUUUUCUUUUGCUAUGUUGCCUAACUCCACUGUGGGGGAUUGUUUGAUACCUAAAUGUUGCAAGUUAUUUUAAAAGGAAGAUAAAUUAAAAUCAUUUUAUGUGUUGUAGUAAGUACUUUUUCCCCCAGAAUUCUUUAAGCAAUGCAAAUGUUCAAAUAUGAAAACAAUCAUGCAUAAUAAGGAAUUUAAUAUCAGAUGAUGAUACUACCCAGAAACAGUUAAUAAAUGCCCAAAUUAAAACAGGCCUUACCUGGUAGAGAUUUG